rnacentral:rRNA from 1 species
GGGUUGUGAGGUUAAGCGACCAAGCGUACACGGUGGAUGCCCUGGCAGUCAGAGGCGAUGAAGGACGUGCUAAUCUGCGAUAAGCGCCGGUAAGGUGAUAUGAACCGUUAUAACCGGCGAUUUCCGAAUGGGGAAACCCAGUGUGAUUCGUCACACUAUCAUUAACUGAAUCCAUAGGUUAAUGAGGCGAACCGGGGGAACUGAAACAUCUAAGUACCCCGAGGAAAAGAAAUCAACCGAGAUUCCCCCAGUAGCGGCGAGCGAACGGGGAGGAGCCCAGAGCCUGAAUCAGCAUGUGUGUUAGUGGAAGCGUCUGGAAAGGCGCGCGAUACAGGGUGACAGCCCCGUACACAAAAGCGCAUAUGCUGUGAGCUCGAUGAGUAGGGCGGGACACGUGGUAUCCUGUCUGAAUAUGGGGGGACCAUCCUCCAAGGCUAAAUACUCCUGACUGACCGAUAGUGAACCAGUACCGUGAGGGAAAGGCGAAAAGAACCCCGGCGAGGGGAGUGAAACAGAACCUGAAACCGUGUACGUACAAGCAGUGGGAGCCCCACCACUAAGCCAGUGGUGAACUCCACAUACGCAUCCUUUGCGGAAGGUGCGGUUAACGGAGCGAAAGCGACGUUCAACCUCAAAAGAAGCAGAGGGGGCUUAGUGGUGGGGUGACUGCGUACCUUUUGUAUAAUGGGUCAGCGACUUAUAUUCUGUAGCAAGGUUAACCGCAUAGGGGAGCCGAAGGGAAACCGAGUCUUAAUUGGGCGUUAAGUUGCAGGGUAUAGACCCGAAACCCGGUGAUCUAGCCAUGGGCAGGUUGAAGGUUGGGUAACACUAACUGGAGGACCGAACCGACUAAUGUUGAAAAAUUAGCGGAUGACCUGUGGCUGGGGGUGAAAGGCCAAUCAAACCGGGAGAUAGCUGGUUCUCCCCGAAAGCUAUUUAGGUAGCGCCUCGUGAAUUCAUCUCCGGGGGUAGAGCACUGUUUCGGCUAGGGGGCCAUCCCGGCUUACCAACCCGAUGCAAACUGCGAAUACCGGAGAAUGUUAUCACGGGAGACACACGGCGGGUGCUAACGUCCGUCGUGAAGAGGGAAACAACCCAGACCGCCAGCUAAGGUCCCAAAGUCAUGGUUAAGUGGGAAACGAUGUGGGAAGGCCCAGACAGCCAGGAUGUUGGCUUAGAAGCAGCCAUCAUUUAAAGAAAGCGUAAUAGCUCACUGGUCGAGUCGGCCUGCGCGGAAGAUGUAACGGGGCUAAACCAUGCACCGAAGCUGCGGCAGCGACGCUCAUGCGUUGUUGGGUAGGGGAGCGUUCUGUAAGCCGUUGAAGGUGUGUCGUGAGGCAUGCUGGAGGUAUCAGAAGUGCGAAUGCUGACAUAAGUAACGAUAAAGCGGGUGAAAAACCCGCUCGCCGGAAGACCAAGGGUUCCUGUCCAACGUUAAUCGGGGCAGGGUGAGUCGACCCCUAAGGCGAGGCCGAAAGGCGUAGUCGAUGGGAAACGGGUUAAUAUUCCCGUACUUGGUGUUACUGCGAAGGGGGGACGGAGAAGGCUAUGUUGGCCGGGCGACGGUUGUCCCGGUUUAAGCAUGUAGGCGGAUGUUCCAGGUAAAUCCGGAACGUUACUAACGCUGAGGUGUGAUGACGAGGCACCACGGUGCUGAAGCAACAAAUGCCCUGCUUCCAGGAAAAGCCUCUAAGCAUCAGGUAACAUCAAAUCGUACCCCAAACCGACACAGGUGGUCAGGUAGAGAAUACCAAGGCGCUUGAGAGAACUCGGGUGAAGGAACUAGGCAAAAUGGUGCCGUAACUUCGGGAGAAGGCACGCUGACACGUAGGUGAAGUGAUUUACUCACGGAGCUGAAGUCAGUCGAAGAUACCAGCUGGCUGCAACUGUUUAUUAAAAACACAGCACUGUGCAAACACGAAAGUGGACGUAUACGGUGUGACGCCUGCCCGGUGCCGGAAGGUUAAUUGAUGGGGUCAGCGCAAGCGAAGCUCCUGAUCGAAGCCCCGGUAAACGGCGGCCGUAACUAUAACGGUCCUAAGGUAGCGAAAUUCCUUGUCGGGUAAGUUCCGACCUGCACGAAUGGCGUAAUGAUGGCCAGGCUGUCUCCACCCGAGACUCAGUGAAAUUGAACUCGCUGUGAAGAUGCAGUGUACCCGCGGCAAGACGGAAAGACCCCGUGAACCUUUACUAUAGCUUGACACUGAACAUUGAGCCUUGAUGUGUAGGAUAGGUGGGAGGCUUUGAAGCGUGGACGCCAGUCUGCGUGGAGCCAACCUUGAAAUACCACCCUUUAAUGUUUGAUGUUCUAACGUGGACCCGUAAUCCGGGUUGCGGACAGUGUCUGGUGGGUAGUUUGACUGGGGCGGUCUCCUCCUAAAGAGUAACGGAGGAGCACGAAGGUUGGCUAAUCCUGGUCGGACAUCAGGAGGUUAGUGCAAUGGCAUAAGCCAGCUUGACUGCGAGCGUGACGGCGCGAGCAGGUGCGAAAGCAGGUCAUAGUGAUCCGGUGGUUCUGAAUGGAAGGGCCAUCGCUCAACGGAUAAAAGGUACUCCGGGGAUAACAGGCUGAUACCGCCCAAGAGUUCAUAUCGACGGCGGUGUUUGGCACCUCGAUGUCGGCUCAUCACAUCCUGGGGCUGAAGUAGGUCCCAAGGGUAUGGCUGUUCGCCAUUUAAAGUGGUACGCGAGCUGGGUUUAGAACGUCGUGAGACAGUUCGGUCCCUAUCUGCCGUGGGCGCUGGAGAACUGAGGGGGGCUGCUCCUAGUACGAGAGGACCGGAGUGGACGCAUCACUGGUGUUCGGGUUGUCAUGCCAAUGGCACUGCCCGGUAGCUAAAUGCGGAAGAGAUAAGUGCUGAAAGCAUCUAAGCACGAAACUUGCCCCGAGAUGAGUUCUCCCUGAGACUUUGAGUCUCCUGAAGGAACGUUAAAGACGAUGACGUUGAUAGGCCGGGUGUGUAAGCGCAGCGAUGCGUUGAGCUAACCGGUACUAAUGAACCGUGAGGCUUAACCUUACAACGCCGAAGCUGUU